UGCCCGCCUUUCACCUUUGGCAAUGUCCGACUCCUCUCUCUUUCUCUCUCCAACUACCAGUGAGACCCCAAUUUUCUCGGUUCUCUCAUGGAAACACCCAUUCUCUCUCAUCCCUCUCUAUAGCUCUCUCUAGCGGUCUCUCAUUCUCAAAUCUGCUGAAUUGUUUUCGGCUCUCUGUUUCUCACUGCCAGAACAGAAUCCAUUGCAUCUGAGAGUUGAUAACAGCUUUCUCUGUCUAUAUUCAUUGUUACAUUCACAUAAACAAUGAAUUGACAGCUGCAAUGACAUUGUAUACCCUAUUUUCAGCAAUGUUUAAAAAAUUCAAAUGUCUCGGGGUGUUAGAAAUCACUUCUGGCAGAAUACAACCGAAGAAUGAAAGCUCGGUACAGAUUAGAUGGAAAAACAGUCCAAAGUAUGUAAUGUGUGGCAAUGGAUAUGGCUAUUCCUGAUGCAUUCUUGAAAUAAGCUUGAUCUCUAUUCACAACUGUCAUUGGUCGAAUAAUCAAUCCUAGCGGGAUCCUUCAUUUUUUAUUUUUUUACCUUUUGUAAUUAAUGUUUUUGUAUAAUUUUCUCAUAUCUCGUGAAGAAAAUUCUUUUGAUGUAUUAUCUCAGUGUUUUUUUAUCUUUAUUGUGAGCUGCAUCUAUAUUUUAAUAAACCUCAUGUAACGACAUUUUGAUCCAUCAAUGAUUCUGCUGCCUUUU